UACGUAGGGUGCGAGCGUUGUCCGGAAUUAUUGGGCGUAAAGGGCUCGUAGGCGGUUUGUCGCGUCGGGAGUGAAAACUCAGGGGCUUAACCCUGAGCCUGCUUCCGAUACGGGCAGACUAGAGGUAUGCAGGGGAGAACGGAAUUCCUGGUGUAGCGGUGAAAUGCGCAGAUAUCAGGAGGAACACCGGUGGCGAAGGCGGUUCUCUGGGCAUUACCUGACGCUGAGGAGCGAAAGUGUGGGGAGCGAACAGG
rnacentral:rRNA from 1 species